rnacentral:rRNA from 1 species
AUACGGAGGAUGCGAGCGUUAUCCGGAUUUAUUGGGUUUAAAGGGGGCGCAGGCGGGCGAUUAAGUCAGCGGUGAAAGGCUCGGGCUCAACCGGAGCAGUGCCGUUGAUACUGGUUGUCUUGAAUGCGGUCAAGGCCGGCGGAAUGUGGCGUGUAGCGGGGAAAUGCAUAGAUAUGCCACAGAAAACCGAUAGCGAAGGCAGCUGGCCGGGCCUGCAUUGACGCUGAGGCACGAAAGCGUGGGGAUCGAACAGGAUUAGAUACCCUGGUAGUCCACGCUGUAAACGAUGGACACUCGUUGUCGGCGACAGACAGUCGGCGGCCAAGCGAAAGUGAUAAGUGUCCCACCUGGGGAGUACGGUCGCAAGGCUGAAACUCAAAUGAAUUGACGGGG